GCGUACCGUAGUCUUACUGACGUUCAUGCUCGAAGGUGCGGGUAUCGAACAGGAUUAGAUACCCUGGUAGUCCGCACGGUAAACGAUGGAUGCCCGCUGUUUGCGAUACACAGUAAGCGGCCAAGCGAAAGCAUUAAGCAUCCCACCUGGGGAGUACGCCGGCAACGGUGAAACUCAAAGGAAUUGACGGGGGCCCGCACAAGCGGAGGAACAUGUGGUUUAAUUCGAUGAUACGCGAGGAACCUUACCCGGGCUUGAACUGCAGCGGAAGGAAACAGAGAUGUUGACGUCCUUCGGGACCGCUGCGGAGGUGCUGCAUGGUUGUCGUCAGCUCGUGCCGUGAGGUGUCGGCUUAAGUGCCAUAACGAGCGCAACCCCUGCGGUCAGUUGCCAUCAGUUAGAGCUGGGCACUCUGGCCGGACUGCCACCGCAAGGUGUGAGGAAGGUGGGGACGACGUCAAAUCAGCACGGCCCUUACGUCCGGGGCUACACACGUGUUACAAUGGGGAGCACAGCGAGUCGGCCGCCCGCAAGGUCGGUCCAAUCAUGAAACCUCCCCUCAGUUCGGACUGGGGUCUGCAACCCGACCCCACGAAGCUGG
rnacentral:rRNA from 1 species